rnacentral:lncRNA from 1 species
AACUUUAAUUAUUUGCUUGUUUAUAAUUAAUGAAUUUUCUUGUUUCUUGAAAUUUUCCAGUUUGAUAACAGUUUGUUUCACCAAUGAUAACAUCAAAGUUUAAAAGGGGGAGUGACUUGUGUUUCAAAGGCGAAAUGUACGGCAAUUAAAGAUAGGUAGUCACAACUCACAAAAAUCUAAUACUGUAAGGUUCAUGACCAAAUUUUAUUUUUCAAUUUACUUAUAUAGAGUGUUCCGUGCAACUACAUUUCUAGAACUUGCAUUGUUUCUUUACUGUUGAUUGAUCUAUGUCAUUUACACAUUGAGGCAAAGUGCUUGGUCCUGUGAGCCUUUGAAGCCUACCCUGAUUAUGAUUUGAAAUUUAUCCUUUUUGAAAGCCAAAUUGAGCCGGUAGGUUUAGAUCUUUUUGUUCGGUGAUAAACUACAUUACAAACUUAGAGACUUUUAGAAUUUGUCCGAAUCUGAGUUAGGCAUUGUAGAAUGUUGUUAAAAAAUAAGUUUGGGGUUGCUAUAGGAAUUUGCAACCAACUAAGUUUGGGGUGGUGGUACUAGAGAACAAAGAACAAAUCAUGAAAAAUACACACAAAAAUGGUGUAUUAAAAAAAAAAAAAGAAUGAAAAACAAAGGGACAAACAUUGAAAAAUCUGAGUAAUUCCAAACUCGAUUGUCCCAAUAAGUUACAAAUAAUCUCUAGUACCCUUGCAAGAAUUGUUGUUCCAAAAGGUGAAUGAAUGAUGGAUUGAAUUUUGUGCUUAACUUCCGUAUGAAUGCCUAACUCAAAUUUUGUGUAGCCUACUUAUCCAAAUAUUAUUCCACCUUCACCUAAGCCCCGUUAUAAUCCUUUAAGACCUCAAAGUGUGUAAUGACAUUGAUUUUGAUUGACGUUUAGAAACUUUUCAAGCGUAUGAUAAUAUGUAGACCUGCAUGUUGAUUGUGUGUGAACCUUUAUCAAAUUGUUGAGGGGAGUUGUGAUUGGUGGAUGCAAGCAAGUCAAACUAGCUCAACAUAUGGCUAUUAGGGAGAUGAACUUUGAGGAUAUCAUUGGUUGGUGAGCUGUUAUUUUACUGUCAUUUUUCAUUCAACAAGUUUGUUCCUUGAGGACAAGUAACAGUUUAUGUUUGGGGUUGUGAUGGCAGUCAGUCAUUCACUAUUUUUAGAGUCAUUUUUAAUAAGUUUUUAGUCUAUUUUUAUUAGUUUACUAUUUAAUUUAGAGUCAUUUUAUAUAGGCUUAAUUGCACUUUUGUUUAUCGAGUCAAGUAUAUUUUUAUCUAUUAUUAUUGCUCAGUAGCUACAUGAUCAAACAAGAGAGAAAGAUAGCGUGACAUACAAAGGAAGGCUGGAUUGAAAAUAACAAGAACAUGUAUUAUGCAUUAGUAUUGAUGGUGGUAUUGGAUGAAAAAGUGGACCAAGGAAGCAUAUAUCAUGCUGACAUAUAUUUUUGAGUUAUAUACAUCGGCAUCAAAAGAUUAAAACAAGUCACAUAUAAACAUUUAAGGAAACGUGGAAUUAUAAAGUGGGCUUUGACCCAUGUUGUUGGUUGACCCGAGGGUUGGAACUUCAGCUUUGUUAUAAAAAAGGCCAAUUCACGCUUUGGUACAAAAGAAAAAAAGGAGCAGAUUCACGUUUUGGAGAGCUUCCUUCACGUUUUGGAACGGAUUGAAAGAGAGGCUGCUACGGCAUGUACAAGAAGAACAGCGAUUAGAAAGCAAAUUUUGGAGGCAACAACGAAACUCUCGGUUUAUUUUCUUUUCUCUGUUGUUUUAAUUUUAUGAAUAUGAGUAGCUAAGGUUUUAGUUUGAUUGAGCCAUGAUGAACCUUUUGUAAUAUAUGAAUCAGUAGUUGAUACUCUCUUUAUUAUUAAUGUUAUUCAGUCUUUAUUCAGAAUUACGUGUGUUCAUUGCUUUUCAUAUAAUUGUUUGUAUGACUAUUAACCCUAGCUUCGUGCAAUUACAUGAAUUGAUAUUAGGAAUUGAAUGACUAUUAACCCUAGCUUUUAAUCCUGAAAUAGUAAUCCUGUUUGAUUCAACAUAGGAACCUAGAGAUAGGAAAUUGAGGAUCAUGACUCAUGAAUUAACGUACUUUUAUCGCUUCCGCAGUUAUUCAAUCGGUUUAAGAGAUUAAAAGAUUAUAACUUAGGAAAGGGUUUUGAGUCAAGAGAUUGAUCAAAACUACUUAGUUAAUUUGUCGUAAAUAUUGAAUAGUAAUUAGUAAUAAAGGGAGGUAAACUACUCAUAUAAAGCAAUAGCGGAUUCAUCGGCAUAAUCAUCCUUCUCGAAUCAUCUUUCAACAACUUUUAUUUACUUUUUAUGCACACAAACCUACUGCCUCAGGCACUUACAAAAUUUACACAUCCUAGAUAUUAACUUUAUUGCUAAGUUGAGAUUAACACAGUCCUCGUGGAUACGAACUUAUUAUUUUUAUUACUUCGAUAGUUUUAGUACGCUUGCUAAAAUAUCUAUCAAGUUUUUGGCGCCGCUGCCGGGGACUGUUGAAUCAUUUCAACUUAGCAAUUUUGUUUUUGUUUAGGAUUUCUGUCAUUUAUAUAUAUUUUUUUUUUUUGUAUAUAUAUAUAUAUUGAAAAAAAAAAUUAUUUAUGCUCUUCGUUUUCUUCUCAUUGUACGGUUCUACUAAAAAGUUUAUCAAAGUUUUGCAGCUAUGAUAGACAGGUUACACCUCUAUGAGACAAAAGAGAUUUGGUCAUUGCAGUAUGAAAAAUAUAUGAUAUCUUUGAAGAUAAAAUGUUUGGACAGUAAAAUCUCUCUAUUAAAUGAGAGGUGUGACAAUUAUGAGGUGGAUCAACCAAGUAGUAAUUCUGAAGAGAAGAAAGAGGUGAUCAACAUCGAUUACAAUACUCAACUUCAAAAUAUUUUAGAUGAUUUCUUGGUGUCAAAUCAAGUUUCAGUUGAGAAGUUUGAAGUUCAGUGUGGUGAUCUUGUUGCAAAAGCACAUGAGUCUUAGAGGAAGCUGGUUCAGAUGGAGACUGAGUGUCACGAGGUUGUGGUGGAAGAAAAUUCCAAAGUGAGGAGUGUUGAUAUUUUCCCAAAGUCUGAACCAACGGGGGUUAAGGAAAUCACUCGUGUGCAGAUGGAUGCAUGUCCUUCUCUAAGGUGGGAGAUCUUAAAUUCCAAAGGUUUAACAGUGGGUGCAUGGGAGUAUCUGAUUCUUUAUGUCAAAUUGAUGGAAUUCCUACCAAACAAGAGGAAGAAGAAGGAUGAUAUAUUCUUUCUAUCAUUUUUGCCACCCUAACAGUGGUUGAAGCGUCAAGAUCAAUGACGUAAAAAAAAGUGCUUGGUGGGAGGCAACCCAUCCUUUUUUUUUUAAUGUUUUUUAUUUUGCAGGUAUUUUUUUUUCAGUUAAAAAAAAAAAGCAAACAAAAAAAAAAGUGAAAAGAUGGACCCAAAAAAAAAAAGGAGAAAAAAAAAAUCAGAGUCCACAUCAGUUCUUAUUUUUUAUUAUUUUCAAUAACUUAUCUUUAUCAGAUGUCAGUUGUGUCAUUUCUCAGUUUGAUUAACUUUAAUUAUUUGCUUGUUUAUAAUUAAUGAAUUUUCUUGUUUCUUGAAAUUUUCCAGUUUGAUAACAGUUUGUUUCACCAAUGAUAACAUCAAAGUUUAAAAGGGGGAGUGACUUGUGUUUCAAAGGCGAAAUGUACGGCAAUUAAAGAUAGGUAGUCACAACUCACAAAAAUCUAAUACUGUAAGGUUCAUGACCAAAUUUUAUUUUUCAAUUUACUUAUAUAGAGUGUUCCGUGCAACUACAUUUCUAGAACUUGCAUUGUUUCUUUACUGUUGAUUGAUCUAUGUCAUUUACACAUUGAGGCAAAGUGCUUGGUCCUGUGAGCCUUUGAAGCCUACCCUGAUUAUGAUUUGAAAUUUAUCCUUUUUGAAAGCCAAAUUGAGCCGGUAGGUUUAGAUCUUUUUGUUCGGUGAUAAACUACAUUAC